CCCCUGGUGGUCUAGUGGUUAAGGACGCGGCACUGCCAACGCCGAGGUCCGGGUUCGAUUCCCGGUUGGGGCC